rnacentral:snoRNA from 1 species
GCUCGGUGAUGAUAUAAAGGCUAAUGUGACUCUACCAGUUGGGUUGCACCCUCAGCCCAUUCCGGUAAGACAGGUCUGUAAUCUUGGUGGACAACGCUGAGCCGUGCGUGUUCGCUGUAAGGGCAGGCCGACAGAAAAUCCCCUUCCCUGCGUCCCUGGAAAACACGUCUUCGGGAUGCGUCAGCUCUGAGCGAGUGUUUCCAUGAGCUGCCAAGGGGCAGUGGGGACAGGAUGGGGCAGCGCGUGCCAGGUUUGGGUUGCAGGGGGCAGCCCGUGUUGCAGCUGGUGAGAUGUGAGCACAAGUCUUUGGUAAUCUGAUGGCU